rnacentral:rRNA from 1 species
CACGUGGGCAACCUGCCCAAAAGAGGGGGAUAACACUUGGAAACAGGUGCUAAUACCGCAUAACCAUAGUUACCUCAUGGUAACUAUGUAAAAGGUGGCUAUGCUACCGCUUUUGGAUGGGCCCGCGGCGCAUUAGCUAGUUGGUGGGGUAAAGGCUUACCAAGGCAAUGAUGCGUAGCCGAACUGAGAGGUUGAUCGGCCACAUUGGGACUGAGACACGGCCCAAACUCCUACGGGAGGCAGCAGUAGGGAAUCUUCCACAAUGGGCGAAAGCCUGAUGGAGCAACGCCGCGUGGGUGAAGAAGGUCUUCGGAUCGUAAAACCCUGUUGUUAGAGAAGAAAGUGCGUGAGAGUAACUGUUCACGUUUCGACGGUAUCUAACCAGAAAGCCACGGCUAACUACGUGCCAGCAGCCGCGGUAAUACGUAGGUGGCAAGCGUUAUCCGGAUUUAUUGGGCGUAAAGGGAACGCAGGCGGUCUUUUAAGUCUGAUGUGAAAGCCUUCGGCUUAACCGGAGUAGUGCAUUGGAAACUGGGAGACUUGAGUGCAGAAGAGGAGAGUGGAACUCCAUGUGUAGCGGUGAAAUGCGCAGAUAUAUGGAAGAACACCAGUGGCGAAAGCGGCUCUCUGGUCUGUAACUGACGCUGAGGUUCGAAAGCGUGGGU